rnacentral:rRNA from 1 species
UACAGAGGUCUCAAGCGUUGUUCGGAAUCACUGGGCGUAAAGGGUGCGUAGGCCGCACGGUAAGUCAGAGGUGAAAUCCCGGAGCUCAACUUCGGAAUUGCCUCCGAUACUGCCGUGCUUGAGGACUGGAGAGGAGAUUGGAAUUCACAGUGGAGCAGUGAAAUGCGUAGAUAUCUGGAGGAACACCGGUGGCGAAGGCGGCAUCCUGGACCGGCACUGACACUGAGGAGCGAAAGCCAGGGGAGCAAACGGG